UGCAAGUCGAGCGGGCGUAGCAAUACGUCAGCGGCAGACGGGUGAGUAACGCGUGGGAACAUACCUUUUGGUUCGGAACAACACAGGGAAACUUGUGCUAAUACCGGAUAAGCCCUUACGGGGAAAGAUUUAUCGCCGAAAGAUUGGCCCGCGUCUGAUUAGCUAGUUGGUGAGGUAACGGCUCACCAAGGCGACGAUCAGUAGCUGGUCUGAGAGGAUGAUCAGCCACAUUGGGACUGAGACACGGCCCAAACUCCUACGGGAGGCAGCAGUGGGGAAUAUUGGACAAUGGGCGCAAGCCUGAUCCAGCCAUGCCGCGUGAGUGAUGAAGGCCCAAGGGUUGUAAAGCUCUUUUGUGCGGGAAGAUAAUGACGGUACCGCAAGAAUAAGCCCCGGCUAACUUCGUGCCAGCAGCCGCGGUAAUACGAAGGGGGCUAGCGUUGCUCGGAAUCAUUGGGCGUAAAGGGUGCGUAGGCGGGUCUUUAAGUCAGAGGUGAAAUCCUGGAGCUCAACUCCAGAACUGCCUUUGAUACUGAAGAUCUUGAGUUCGGGAGAGGUGAGUGGAACUGCGAGUGUAGAGGUGAAAUUCGUAGAUAUUCGCAAGAACACCAGUGGCGAAGGCGGCUCACUGGCCCGAUACUGACGCUGAGGCACGAAAGCGUGGGGAGCAAACAGGAUUAGAUACCCUGGUAGUCCACGCCGUAAACGAUGAAUGCCAGCCGUUAGUGGGUUUACUCACUAGUGGCGCAGCUAACGCUUUAAGCAUUCCGCCUGGGGAGUACGGUCGCAAGAUUAAAGCUCAAAGGAAUUGACGGGGGCCCGCACAAGCGGUGGAGCAUGUGGUUUAAUUCGACGCAACGCGCGGAACCUUACCAGCCCUUGACAUCCCGGUCGCGGACUCCAGAGAUGGAGUUCUUCAGUUCGGCUGGA
rnacentral:rRNA from 1 species